rnacentral:rRNA from 1 species
GAUGAACGCUGGCGGCGUGCCUAAUACAUGCAAGUCGAGCGAACAGACGAGGAGCUUGCUUCUCUGACGUUAGCGGCGGACGGGUGAGUAACACGUGGAUAACCUACCUAUAAGACUGGGAUAACUUCGGGAAACCGGAGCUAAUACCGGAUAAUGUAUUGAACCGCAUGGUUCAAUAGUGAAAGACGGUUUUGCUGUCACUUAUAGAUGGAUCCGCGCCGCAUUAGCUAGUUGGUAAGGUAACGGCUUACCAAGGCAACGAUGCGUAGCCGACCUGAGAGGGUGAUCGGCCACACUGGAACUGAGACACGGUCCAGACUCCUACGGGAGGCAGCAGUAGGGAAUCUUCCGCAAUGGGCGAAAGCCUGACGGAGCAACGCCGCGUGAGUGAUGAAGGUCUUCGGAUCGUAAAACUCUGUUAUUAGGGAAGAACAAAUGUGUAAGUAACUAUGCACGUCUUGACGGUACCUAAUCAGAAAGCCACGGCUAACUACGUG